rnacentral:rRNA from 1 species
GACGAACGCUGGCGGCGUGCCUAAUACAUGCAAGUCGAACGCAGUGGGGACGGGUGAGUAACACGUGGGUAACCUCCCAUCAGAGGGGAUAACACUUGGAAAAAGGUACUAAACCGAUACUGAUGGAUGGUCCCGCGGUGCAUUAGCUAGUUGGUGAGGUAACGGCUCACCAAGGCCACGAUGCAUAGCCGACCUGAGAGGGUGAUCGGCCACACUGGGACUGAGACACGGCCCAGACUCCUACGGGAGGCAGCAGUAGGGAAUAUUCGGCAAUGGACGCAAGUCUGACCGAGCAAUGCCGCGUGAGUGAAGAAGGUCUUCGGAUCGUAAAACUCUUUUGUUAGAGAAGCGGUAUCUAACCAGAAAGCCACGGCUAACUCCGUGCCAGCAGCCGCGGUAAUUC